rnacentral:rRNA from 1 species
AGGACGAACGCUGGCGGCGUAGCCUAACACAUGCAAGUCGAGCGAGGAGAUCCUCGGGAUGAUCCUAGCGGCGGACGGGUGAGUAACACGUGGGCAACCUGCCUCAGUAGAGAGGAAUAGCCUUCCGAAAGGGAGAUUAAUACCUCAUAACAUUGCAGUUUCGCAUGAAACAGCAAUUAAGGAGCAAUCCGCUAUGAGAUGGGCCCGCGGCGCAUUAGCUAGUUGGUGAGGUAACGGCUCACCAAGGCGACGAUGCGUAGCCGACCUGAGAGGGUGAUCGGCCACAUUGGGACUGAGACACGGCCCAGACUCCUACGGGAGGCAGCAGUGGGGAAUAUUGCACAAUGGGGGAAACCCUGAUGCCAGCAACGCCGCGUGAGUGAUGACGGCCUUCGGGUUGUAAAGCUCUGUCUUCAGGGACGAUAAUGACGGUACCUGAGGAGGAAGCCACGGCUAACUACGUGCCAGCCGCCGC